ACAUGGAUCCACAGCAUUUUCAUCCCAAUUAAGAACAGAAUGAGGGUCUUUCAGAGCAGCUUUGAUGGCCAUCAGGGCUUGCACUAAAAGGUAAGCAAAGCAUUUACAGAAGAAUUCCCUAAGCAAAACAAGAACAAGAAGAACAAAAUGAAAAGUUCUUGAAGCAUUCUUCAAUGGCGUUGAAGAUGGAAGAACUUGACUCUGGUUUUAUGAAGGAAGCAAGGUAGAAGAUGAUCUGAAGUGCUCUAACUCAACCAACUCUCAACUGAUCCCUUUGUUGGUGAGUUUUUCUCUUUCUUUUUAUAUGUCUUCUUGUAAAGUUGGAUCAGAACUGAGAUGGUUUUUUGGUGGUAAAAAGGGAAGCCAACAUGCCUCCAGUGCCUCUGAAAAGAAUAUGGAAAAGGUAACCAAUUUGUAGAUAUACUUUUAAACACUAAAAUUCCCUUCAAUCAUGCUUGAGUUUAAAGAGAACAGCAUGUGGGAAUUCCCGAAAUUUAAAAUAUUCUUUUACUCGA